rnacentral:rRNA from 1 species
GAUGAACGCUAGCGGCAGGCUUAACACAUGCAAGUCGAGGGGCAGCACGUCUUCGGAUGGUGGCGACCGGCGCACGGGUGCGUAACGCGUAUAGAACCUACCUUUUACAGGGGAAUAGCCCAGAGAAAUUUGGAUUAAUGCCCCAUAGUAUUAUUAGAUGGCAUCAUUUGGUAAUUAAACAUUAUGGGUAAAGAUGGCUAUGCGUUCUAUUAGCUAGAUGGUAAGGUAACGGCUUACCAUGGCGACGAUAGAUAGGGGUCCUGAGAGGGAGAUCCCCCACACUGGUACUGAGACACGGACCAGACUCCUACGGGAGGCAGCAGUGAGGAAUAUUGGACAAUGGGCGAGAGCCUGAUCCAGCCAUGCCGCGUGCAGGAAGACGGUCCUAUGGAUUGUAAACUGCUUUUAUACAGGAAGAAACACUCCCUCGUGAGGGAAUUUGACGGUACUGUAUGAAUAAGCACCGGCUAACUCCGUGCCAGCAGCC